CGAGACACAACCUAUCAACACCCCCGCCCACGUGUUUCCCCUCGGCCCCGCGCCGGCCGGCUCCCAGUGGUGGCGCCGCUCGCAUGUGGCUGCUCCUGCGCCUGGAACCUCCCGGGCCCUUCCGCGUCCGUGGCUCUGCGCCCCAGCGGGCCGAGGGUCCUAACUAGCCAAGAUGCCGAUCGACGUUAAUGAUGUGAUGCGCCUAUUGUGCCGUAUCUCUGAGGAGAGGAAGAUGAAGGCUGCUGUCAGGCAUUCUGGACGAGGAGCUCUAGUAGCGGGUGCAACAGCAUUUGUCGGGGGCUUAAUGGGUGGUCCACCUGGAAUAGCUGUAGGGGGUGCAGUUGGUGGUUUAUUUGGUGCUUGGAUGACUGCUGGACAGUUUAAGCCAAUCCCUCAGAUUAUACUGGAACUGCCUCCUGCUGAGCAACAGAAGCUCUAUGAAGAUGCCUUCGCUAUUGUCAGGAACUUAGACUGGACUGAUGCUGCACAGUUGACUGCACUUGUAAUGGGAAAUGCCGCCCUCCAACAGAAGUUGGCAGCAGUGCUAAUAAAUUAUCUUUCACAUGAGCUAAGAGCAGAAAUACGUCGUGUAGGGACAGAGAUGGGUUGGCCCUUGGACAUGUCUCUUUAUUUGUGUUUCCUAAAGUUAAUUAUUUUAGGAAAAAUUGUGGGAGCAGCCACCAGCAAGAGUUGGUGGCCACACUCUGAGACCACCAAAUAUUUUGUUGUGAGAACCCCUGCACUAGUGGUAGCAAUGGUAUCAUUAUUGCUUUGAAUAGGUUGUCCUGACAGAGCAGGGGUAACCCCUGAGCUCUGUCUACACUAACAGCUUAGCACCAGUGCCGCUGUCCCAUUGCUGGCUGUUGUUGUAAUUUUUUUUUUUUCUACUGUAGGUGCACUCCUGGCGGUAGCACUAGCUGGCUGGGAAGACUGACACUGCUUGAUAAUAAAGUAGAAUGCAGAUUUGGGGUAUAGCUCAAGUCUAAUUUAACAGCAGACUUUCAGCUUGAUGAUUUUUUUUUUAAACUAAUGUCUUUGCAUUGCAGUGAACUAAAGCUAUUAGCCUUUAAUUAGAAUAGGAGGUUUCUUCUUUACCUUUCUAGAGAUCACAGAAAUCCAAUGCAUUUCUCAAGCUGUGAGCCAGAAAUCAAACAUUCAUCACAUAAUUGCAGUAACUAUGUGCUAAUACUUCCCAUUAAAUAUGAUUUAUUAAUUCUACAAGAGCAUAAUAGGAAAAGACAUGAAUUCCAUUCCAAAGUUGGCAAAAAUUCCAACAUUCCAGUUUAAUUUGAUGGCUCAAAGACAUCACCAGAACCAUGCUGCUGUAUGUGAAGAGUUUAUACAAAGGGAUCUCUCUCUUCACAUUUUGGGCAUCAUCAAAGGAGAUAGCAUUGCCUAAGGCACAGGUAUUGGAUUUGAAAGACCUGGGUUCAAUUCCUGCCUUUGUUGAUAGUUUGCCAAGUGACUUCCCUUCUUUGUGUACUUUGCUUUAGUUUCUCCAUCUGUGAAAUGGGGAUUAUGCUCCUGACCUCUGGAAGGCACUUUAAGAUCUGCUGAUGAAGAUUGCUACGUAAGAACUUCUUGUUCUUUUGCUGUUUGCCUCCCUCCAGUUCUACAAUCAAGAUGUCAAGACAUGGAAGAAUAUUAUAAAUGUUAGCGUAGGUUCGUACUAGUGAGAGGGGUAAAAACUAUUAGACCAUGAGUCCAGAUACUUGCAAAGGCUGGUUAUUGUUUCCUGAGAGACUAUAUCCAGUCUUAAACUGAUAUUAUACUUGAUCUAAGCUAGUAUGGGGCCCUCUAUACUUAGGCCUCAAGGAAUCUAUAUAAUGGAAUUUGAACAUUUUUAGGUCCUUUCAGUUAACCUUUUUUUCUCCACAGUCUGUGUGAAAGAGGUAAAAAGUGCAACCAUUAUCUUAAGUUAAUGCGUUUCUUCUGAAUACGCAUAUGUCAGAUACUCCCCUGCUGUAUAGUUUGAUGACAGCAUAUCAUGACCUGCUAUUGUAUGAAAUAUGAAAUGAUGGGAGUGAAUAAUCGUUGUAAUUCUGGCUCAAAACUGAUCUAAUAAAACUGUCCUUAAGGGAUUUAUAUUUUUA